GGGGAGGUAGUGACAAUAAAUACUGAUACAGGGCUCCUUAGGGUCUUGUAAUUGGAAUGAGUACAAUUUAAAUCCCUUAACGAGGAACAAUUGGAGGGCAAGUCUGGUGCCAGCAGCCGCGGUAAUUCCAGCUCCAAUAGCGUAUAUUAAAGUUGUUGUGGUUAAAAAGCUCGUAGUUGAACCUUGGGCCUGGCUGGCCGGUCCGCCUCACCGCGUGCACUGGUCCGGCCGGGCCCUUCCCUCUGUGGAACCCCAUACCCUUCACUGGGCGUGGCGGGGAAACAGGACAUUUACUUUGAAAAAAUUAGAGUGCUCCAGGCAGGCCUAUGCUCGAAUACAUUAGCAUGGAAUAAUAAAAUAGGACGCGCGGUUCUAUUUUGUUGGUUUAUAGGACCGCCGUAAUGAUUAAUAGGGACAGUCGGGGGCAUCAGUAUUCAACUGUCAGAGGUGAAAUUCUUGGAUCAGUUGAAGACUAACUACUGCGAAAGCAUUUGCCAAGGAUGUUUUCAUUAAUCAGGAACGAAAGUUAGGGGAUCGAAGACGAUCAGAUACCGUCGUAGUCUUAACCAUAAACUAUGCCGACUAGGGAUCGGACGGUGUUAUUCAUGACCCGUUCGGCACCUUACGAGAAAUCAAAGUGCUUGGGCUCCAGGGGGAGUAUGGUCGCAAGGCUGAAAC
rnacentral:rRNA from 1 species